UUCACUACAUCUGCUUGACAGAAGACAGCAUUGUAAUAAAUCAUUUAUACUGUUGUUGUUCCAAGUUGCAAUAUAUUGUACAAUGCCAAAGUUAUAUCAUAAUAUUACACAAAAUUAUUUUAUAUAUUUUACUUAAUUUUCCAGGUCCGCACAACACAUCAUAAGCUAGCUGUAUGGACGAGAUUUGCACAACUGCUAUAUUAAAAUAGUUUUGACUACUUCAUAGUUCAAUAUAUCAUGCUUCAAGAAUGUGAAGUCUACGAAUAUGUAUUUUUGAAUGAUACACAGGUAAAAAAAAAAAAGUCAUUUCCAAAUAUAGUCUUGAUAUGAGAAAGGCAGGCAGCAGCAGAAGAGGAAAUUCAUUUCUCCCUUUAGUUAAAAAGAUAAAGAACCUUACAUUAGAAUUAUUAGCUGGUGACCUAAGUAAUGGCGUGAAUGGAGCAAUUAUGGGUGCACGCCACUGAGUUUCCUGUGGACGGAACAGCAAUAGCUCAGCCCAUCCUAACAUUUUUAAGAGCAACGGGAAGAAGUCAAUCCAAUAUAUUUGAAAGUAUGACAGCACAUUAAUGAUUAGUAGCAAUCUGUAUAAACUAGGCUAGCCUUAACAUGUUGCUGGCUCCAUAGCGGAGGAGGCGCUGAUUUCCGCGUUCGCCUCUUUUCCAGCAACGCCACGCCAUCCGUCUCCAACCGAGAGCGGAUUAAGCUCAUUGUUUUCCGGCCUUGUUUCAGGAGAAUGAGACGCGCACGUACAGAGGAAGGAGAGGAAAACAGCGAAGACCGUACUCUGAAUCAGCCAUCGCCGAUGCUGGCCCAAACGAAGGCAGGGAGCACCACCCAACCCAACUGCGACGCUUCUCGCGUCCACGCCUCUGCUCAAGUAUGCUGACAAUUAACAAAGGAGGGCGGGGGGAGUACUUCUGGUGAAGCAACAAGUCUCAGAAAUACUUCAUGGCACGCGGGUAGAGGGAGAGGACGCUCCAGCCAUGGAAAGCCCAGACAAAGCUCACAAAUAGCUUAAAUCCAGCGCUUCAAAGGUUUCCUUCGUACAUAUCCGUCCUAUUUCGAAAGUUCAUCAAUUGCCACGCCCUUUACUUCUGAAUAAACACGGAAUACUCCAGCUGGUUCAUCAGCUUUGGGAUGAAAGAAAAAAGCGAAAUAAACCCAGUCCGGCUCUUUCUGGGCGCAGCCCGUUGACUCAGGUCAGAGUGUAAUCUCCGGCUUCGUGGCAUGACGACCCCUCCUCCAUAGGACGGUUCCCACGCACCUUUCUCCCGUUCCCCUCCGUAUACCUGACAGCCCCUCACAGAGCGCGCACGCCUCGUCCGCGAGGGAAAUCUUCCCGCAGAAACCACGUGGUCGUGAAGAGCGACGGAUGCGCUCGCGCCCACCCAGGAGCCCCGGAAAGAUCAAAGGGGAUACCUGACGGUCGGAGGCGACUCCGCUCUUCGGCGGAGACUUCCUUGCGUGGUCAGACCCCACCCUCGAUGGAGAUCUCAGUCGGCGUGAGAACGCCCGGGUGUUUGGACAGUUCAAAGUUUUCCCUUCGAGGCGAAAAAGAAGCACCCUCGAGUGGGUCGCUUACGUGGAUUCCACGGCGCGCAACUCCGAGCGGCCUUCGCGGAAGAGAGGGAGGUGGCAGGCGGGGGAAGCGCUGCUCCCAACAACAGCCGCAGCAGGUAGCAGCGCUUGCGUGGGUUUGGAAGCUAAGAAAGGUCGGCCUACUCUGGAGCUCAAGGCCGUGGAGAUGGCCCUUUGUCCUCCCGUUUUAACAGAGCAACAAGUGUUGCAAGAUUAGCAGAAAAGAAGAUGGAUAGCCUUCAAAUUGCUUUGGGGUACUAAGGAACAGAAACAGUGGCUGGAUACAAAUAAAAUAGACAACUGUUUUAAAAACCUCUUCCUGUCACAUUCAGUGGGAGAGAAUUCUUUUACCUAAGCAUGUCAUGACAUAGUGUAUUAUUUAAACCAGGUCAUUGUGUAUUCAUUCUCUGUGCUGACAUAUUCCACCAACACCGUUACCCCUUUCAGUUAUUCUUCUGCAUAUCUUUGCAACAGUAUGUGAACUUGUUUAGUCACAGGAGGAAGAUACCAGGUGUUCAGCUAGUAUGGAGGCCUUCUGGUAAAUCCUGUUUUCCCUAAAGCAAAUCUCUAUGCAGGAUUAUACCCUGAAGCAUUCUUUUGUAUUAUAUGGACCUGUUUGGGCUUGUUGUAUGCAGUCAGUUUUUUUCCCCCUUUGAACUCUUGUUUCUAAAAAAAGUAACCUUUCUGUAAUUCCAGAUUCUUGGAAUAUUUGUACUGACUAGGUUUAACUUUAGGUUUCUUAGUAUUACUUUUGGAAUGUAGACAAAACCUGUCUACAUAUUUGUUUUACCUAUCAUAGUUUCUUGGGUUUGACAACUUAUAUAAAGCUGUGUACUGUGCAAUAA